AUUGAACGCUGGCGGCAUGCCUUACACAUGCAAGUCGAACGGUAACGGGCCUUCGGGUGCCGACGAGUGGCGAACGGGUGAGUAAUACAUCGGAACGUGCCCGAUCGUGGGGGAUAACGAGGCGAAAGCUUUGCUAAUACCUCAUACGAUCUACGGAUGAAAGCAGGGGACCGCAAGGCCUUGCGCGGACGGAGCGGCCGAUGGCAGAUUAGGUAGUUGGUGGGAUAAAAGCUUACCAAGCCGACGAUCUGUAGCUGGUCUGAGAGGAUGAUCAGCCACACUGGGACUGAGACACGGCCCAGACUCCUACGGGAGGCAGCAGUGGGGAAUUUUGGACAAAGGGCGCAAGCCUGAUCCAGCCAUGCCGCGUGCAGGAUGAAGGCCUUCGGGUUGUAAACUGCUUUUGUACGGAACGAAAAGCCUUCUUUUAAUACAGGAGGGUCAUGACGGUACCGUAAGAAUAAGCACCGGCUAACUACGUG
rnacentral:rRNA from 1 species